rnacentral:rRNA from 1 species
GGCUCAGGAUGAACGCUGGCGGCGCACAUAAGACAUGCAAGUCGAACGAACUUAAUCAUCUUUAGAUGAAAGCGGUUAGUGCGGACUGGUGAGUAAUGUAUAAGCAACCUGCCUAUCAGAGGGGAAUAACAGUGAGAAAUCAUUGCUAAUACCGCAUAUGCUAACAGAUUCGCAUGAAUCAGUUAGGAAAGGAGCAAUCCGCUGAUAGAUGGGCUUAUAUCUGAUUAGCCUGUUGGUGGGGUAACGGCCUACCAAAGCUACGAUCAGUAGCCGGACUGAGAGGUUGAACGGCCACAUUGGGACUGAGAUACGGCCCAGACUCCUACGGGAGGCAGCAGUCGGGAAUAUUGCGCAAUGGAAGGAAACUCUGACGCAGUGACGCCGCGUAUAGGAAGAAGGUUUUCGGAUUGUAAACUAUUGUCGUUAGGGAAGAUUUAAGACAGUACCUAAGGAGGAAGCCCCGGCUAACUAUGUGCCAGCCGCGGC